rnacentral:rRNA from 1 species
CGUGCCAGCAGCCGCGGUAAUACGGAGGGUGCAAGCGUUAAUCGGAAUUACUGGGCGUAAAGCGUGCGUAGGCGGUUAUUUAAGUCAGAUGUGAAAGCCCCGGGCUUAACCUGGGAACUGCAUUUGAUACUGGAUGACUAGAGUUGAGUAAAGGAGAGUGGAAUUUCAGGUGUAGCGGUGAAAUGCGUAAAGAUCUGAAGGAACACCAGUGGCGAAGGCGGCUCUCUGGACUCAAACUGACGCUGAGGUACGAAAGCGUGGGUAGCAAACAGGAUUAGAUACCCUGGUAGUCCACGCCGUAAACGAUGUCAACUAACCGUUGGGCGCUUUAAGUGCUUAGUGGGUGGAGCUAACGUAUUAAGUUGACCGCCUGGGGAGUACGGCCGCCAGGCUAAAACUCAAAUGAAAUUGACGGGGGCCCGCACAAGCGGUGGAGCAUG